AGAUUGAACGCUGGCGGCAUGCCUAACACAUGCAAGUCGAACGGGAGUAGCAAUACUCUAGUGGCGGACGGGUGAGGAAUACGUAGGAAUUUGCCCUUAAGUGGGGGAUAACCCGGGGAAACCCGGAUUAAUACCGCAUGACCUCGAAAGAGCAAAGUGGGGGAUCGCAAGACCUCACGCUUUUGGAGAAGCCUACGUCGGAUUAGCUAGUUGGUGAGGUAAUGGCUCACCAAGGCGACGAUCCGUAACUGGUCUGAGAGGAUGAUCAGUCACACCGGAACUGAGACACGGUCCGGACUCCUACGGGAGGCAGCAGUGGGGAAUAUUGGACAAUGGGCGCAAGCCUGAUCCAGCAAUGCCGCGUGUGUGAAGAAGGCCUUCGGUUGUAAGA
rnacentral:rRNA from 1 species